AUGACCCUUGACAGAGCGGUCCACAGAUGGGGAUCAGGAAUCAGGGCAAUGGAACAUAUGCUUGUCCGGGCUCUCCGAUUUGUUGAAGACACAACUCCUGGGUCCUUCGGGGUAUGGGGCAUGGGCGGUGUGGGCAAGACCACCCUUCUGGAGCUUGUGCGUGAUUCUGGCUGGGAGUCCUUCGACCAUAUUGUUUUUGUGAAGGUUGGCAAACAGUACCAUGUCCAUAAGGUGCAACAGUGCAUUGCAAACAAUGUCGGAGCGUCAUUGUCCUCCGAAUCCAGUAUGCAACACUCUGCUGACACCAUUUAUAAUCAUCUGAGAGACAAAAACUUCUUGUUGCUGCUGGAUGACCUAUGGAAACGCCUUGACUUGCAAGCAAUCGGCAUCCCACCAAUUACUGGGGAACCGGGGCGGCAUCGUAAAGUUAUAGUAACAUCAAGAAGAAACACCGUAUGCGCCAAUAUGAGAUGCCAAGAAAACAACAUCAUAGCUGCAGGGUGCUUGAACAAACAAGAUGCGUUGCUACUCUUCCUGGAUAAAGUCGGGAACCGCGCCAUCCAAGCCCACUCUCGGAUUCCCAGCCUGGCUAAGGAGGUGGCAGCGCAGUGUGGUGGCUUACCACUAGUUCUGUGCGUCGUCGGUUCAGCUAUGUCAGCGAAGGAAGAUCCUGGGCUAUGGCUGAAUGCAAUAAACAGAUUGAAGAAGUCAAAGGUCCACAAUAACCUCGAUACAGAUGAAGAGGUAUACCAGUGUCUAAAAUACAGUUUUGACAAUCUGGCAAAUGAUGGACUGCGAGGCUGUCUACUAUUGUGCUCUUUGUGGGCUCAAAACGAGAGCAUCCCUAAGGAGCAGCUUAUCCAAUGGUGUAUUGGGCUUGGUUUUUCAGAAGCUUCUGAUGGUUUUGAAGGAGGGGAAGAGAUGAUCCAUUGUCUGCUGGAUGCGUCGCUCUUGGAGAAGAAAGGAAGCAAGGUGGUUGAGAUGCACGACGUCAUCCGUGACAUGGCACUGUGGAUUUUGGAAGCUGACAGCAGGGAACAAGCACCAAUGAGAGAUGAGAGGUGGAGCGUGCUGAAGCAAGUAUGGAUCGAGGAGACAGAACGGCCUAUGGGGAAUAGCAACAUGUGGCCCAUAUGUGAGAGGAAGCUAGCACGGAUGAAGGGCAUCGAGAAGAACUGGCACACAUUGUCUACCAAUCAUGCAUGGCCUGCCAAGAAAGAUUGGCCCAAGCUCGAGAUGCUGGUAAAGCGGAAGGAUUGCUUAUCUUCACUACCAAGCAUCUCUGAUUUCAAAGCUUUGACCUUUUUAGAUUUGGGUUCCCAAUUUAGAUUGGAGGAAUUUCCAAAGGAGAUAUGUGAGUUGAUCGAGCUAGAAUACCUCAACAUUGUGGGAAGUGGGAUGUUUGCGCUGCCGAUGGAGCUCGGGAAGCUGUCAAAGCUCAAGCAUUUGCAUCUAAGGCAAGCUUGGAACCUUCGAGCAAUACCAAGAGGAUUAUUCUCAGGACUUCAGAACAUUCAAGUGGUGGACCUUUUCUGUGACAGUUCGGAGCGUCCUUACCGUCCAAAGUCUGAUGCUGUUUCCUUUUCUCCUCUUCUACUAGCAUUGGCAGACCCAGAAAUGGACAACUUGCAAAUUCUUGGGAUUUGCCUGCAGGGACAGAGUGCUAAUAUCGAGAUCCUAAAGAAGAUGAAGAGGGUGCGUGUACAGUCACUUUGCUUGCUUAAUCCAUUUUUCUGCAGUGAGCACCAGCAGCCCCAGGCAAAAAACUGCAACGUAAUGAAUUUGAAGCUGCUCGGCGAUCUAGACAGCCUAAAGGAGCUGGCCAUUUCUAGCUCUGACAGUUUGCGGGAGGUUGCCGCUGAAUGGGAUCCCACGCAGUCUCCUAGUAAAGAUGUGCUACUCCCAAACCUCAACCAUCUCUGUUUGGAAAACCUCAGUACACUGGAGAAAGUAAUAUGGAGGAAUACAGGAAAUCACCUUCGAGAGGUAUAUAUUAUCAAAUGUGGAAGAAUAAAGCAUGCUACAUGGGUACUGCAGCUUAAAUUCCUCGAACUUCUGGAUAUUCGUGGUUGCACACGACUUGAACUCCUGGUUGAUAUAUCAGAGCUGUGGCCUGAAGAAAUUGCAAGUAAUCCACCCAGGGUGAUUUUUCCACAACUUAAAAGUAUCACUUUAAUUCACCUUCCAGAGUUAUCUACCAUCUGUGUGUUGCCUUGCGAUUUUGAGAAGCUGGCCAGGCUUUCAGUUUCUUCAUGUAGUAAGCUGACAGCCAUUUCUACUCACCGUCCUGUCAAUGCGGCCAGACCCGCCCUUCUUACAGUGGGUGAAGAUGAAUGGUUUGCUCGAUUGGAACACAAUCCCCACAUUCGGCGUACCUCUCGCGCAUUCAUAGCAGAGUUUUUUGAGCCUAUGAUUUGUCAUUUCGGGAAGUCUGUCCUGCGUUUUAGGUUGAACAAACUGGUUCGACACAGGCGGGCUGAAUUAAUUCCUCGCUCCCUGCCCUCCAAGUCUGAAGUUUUGGAUUGCAGAAUGGCUAGAGAUGGAGGGCCUGAUUCUUUGGAGUUAUUAAUAAGAAACUUUAAGUGGUCAAAGGAAGUUCCCCGCAUUAGUAAUCGGAACAAGGAGUAUAAGAAAAAAAAUAAGCACCCUCAUAGUUGGAGCUCUCAAUGUCACAAUGGUAAGCUUGAAGAAUUUAGGGGGGAGGACGAGGCAAUGAUGAGGGGGGGAGUGCUACCAUUGCUCGACAUGACGGAAGAGCAUGCCAGAAACAGUUUUUGGGUGAGUAUGAGUAGUAAAUCAUCUACCUCGCCAUCUACCAUUGCAUUACAAAAGCGGGACAUGCAGACAUUGCGCAGCAAGUUGGGGAAUGAGAAGAAUGAUGUACUCACCGAGGCCCUAGGAAAUGCAGAGCAUUCUGGUCAAGUUAAAGCCAGGCACAGAAGAUCCAGAGCAGAAUAUGACGGCAUGGAAGUUACCAGUGUUCAAACGGUAAGGGGAGAAUGCAAGGAUCAAGUCAGUAUCUUCAAGGAGGAGCUUAAACGGCGAAGGUUUGUCGGAGAGGAUGUGCAGAAAAUGGAGAUCCAUUUUAGUUGUUCCUCUAUCCGCAAUAUCUCAGCAGAAAUCCCAGCCACAUAUCUUGUCAGCGACACCAAAGUGCCGAAAGCUUUGGGGAAGGUACAUCUACCCAUAGCAGAGGAGACGCUCACUGCCAUUGAUGACGUGGAAGGUGCAAGUGAGCUAUUUGUUGGUGAGCCUCCGGAAUGGCAAACUGACCUAAGAGAUGCCAAAAUCAAAUGUGUCCAAUGGCCCAGGAAGGACACUGACUUUGAUCAAGUCCUACCAACAGCACUGGCAGAAGCAACAACAAUAGCACCGCCACAGCAACGAUCACCAACAAUAAUAUCAUUUGCAGCAGCAACAAGAGCGCAGCAGCCACCACGACCACGACCAGAAACAACAAAAACAAGGACAGUGGCGACACCACCACAUGCAGCAGUAGCAACAACACCAGUUGCAGCAGUGCUAAGCUGGCGACGGCCAGCAGCAGGGUCAACACUAGUGGUAGCAAGGUACAAAACACUAGUGACAACACCAGCGGCAACACUAAUGGCAACAAAGCAUGCAGCACCAGCAAGCCAGAAGAAAAAAGCCCUAGUGAAAAUGGUCAAACCCAACCAAAACAAGACUGUUGACGAGCUCAACGAGGAGCAGCUUCUUUUUGCACUGCAGAUAAGCUUGGUUGCUACUAAUACCCGGAAAUUCAAGAAUGGGGAACCAUUGGUCGAGCUGUCAGAUGAAGAAAUGGAGAAAGAAUUUGGACCUGCUUGUCUGAUUUUCCAUGAUUAUUACAUGGAGAAAUCAAAAAAUCAGGCAAAUGAGCGGUCUUCUAGUUUCACCGCAAAAUUCGAACAUAAACAUUUUCACCAUUCCGAGGAAGACUAUGCAAUUCCUGUGCAAUUCGAGGACUUGUUCGAGCUGUACAACCUUGGUGCCCUUGAAGCGGGUCUCAUGAGAUUGUGGACAUUACACUUGAUUAAGGUCGCAGAAGAUAGUAAAGCACCAGUGGGUUUUCUCGAUGCACACAUGAUAUCAUCAAGGCAAAUCAAUACCAUGCGAGACCAAACCCACCGGUAUAUGGUCUAUGCAUUGAAUGCUCAAUGCACCAAGGAGUACAUCAUUUUUCCCUACAACAAUGGUGCGCAUUGGGUUGCAGUUGUACUUCUGCCAAAAUUGAACAAGGUAAUAUACCUUGAUUCAAUCAGGGGGGACAACAGAUACAAAGAACUCGAGGAAGUACUAAACAGUGCAUUCUUGGAGGUUUGUAAUCAUCAAACUGGAGGGACCAGCCAUUCAGCGCAGCUGUGCCAUGACUUCAAUGUGAUGUGCCACCAGCAGCCAAUGGGUACCCAGCUAUGUGGAUUCUACGCAUGCCGCCACAUGCAAAUCGUCUUCAAUGCGGCGGAAGCAAAAGAUUGCGAGAUAAUAUAUAACAUAUCUAAAAGCAAAUUGGGAAUGCACGAGCUUGCCAAAAUCCGCCAUGAACUUGUUCACUACAUAAAUACAGAAGUUAGAGAGGAAUUUGUCCAAGUAAAAUGA
rnacentral:rRNA from 1 species